rnacentral:rRNA from 1 species
CUACGGGAGGCAGCAGGGGGGAAUUUUCCGCAAUGGGCGAAAGCCUGACGGAGCAAUACCGCGUGAGGGAGGAAGGCUCUUGGGUUGUAAACCUCUUUUCUCAGGGAAGAAAAAAAUGACGGUACCUGAGGAAUAAGCAUCGGCUAACUCCGUGCCAGCAGCCGCGGUAAUACGGAGGAUGCAAGCGUUAUCCGGAAUGAUUGGGCGUAAAGAGUCCGUAGGUGGCAUUGAAAGUCUGCUGUUAAAGAGUCUAGCUCAACUAGAUAAGAGCAGUGGAAACUACAAAGCUAGAGUUUGGUCGGGGCAGAAGGAAUUCCUGGUGUAGCGGUGAAAUGCGUAGAUAUCAGGAAGAACACCGGUGGCGAAGGCGUUCUGCUUGGCCGAGACUGACACUGAGGGACGAAAGCUAGGGGAGCGAAUGGGAUUAGAUACCCCAGUAGUCCUAGCCGUAAACGAUGGAUACUAGGCGUAGCUCGUAUCGACCCGAGCUGUGCCGGAGCUAACGCGUUAAGUAUCCCGCCUGGGGAGUACGCAGGCAACUGUGAAACUCAAAAUGAAUUGACGG